CUUAAUUUCUACCUACGAUUGAGGCUCUUGAGCCCUUUCUUGCUUGUGUUCCUUCUGUAUUUUUGCUCGACACCCAGACAUAAAUGCUUAAAGGCCCCAACAACGCAAGCAUGGCGCUGUGUCGACGAAAUCAUUCGGUCUUUUAAUAACAUGUUCCACUCAGAUGUUGGAAAUCAAAUGAUCUACUUUCUCUUUGACCGGGGUUUACAGAGCCUUAUUGGCUCCUUUGCGAAUAAGUUGCUACAUAUAAUGAAGAUAAUGAAGUAGAGCUUGAUAUGACAGAUUGCCGCUCAAUCUGUUGCACUCACUCCCGCUUAUAAAUUAUUUACCAAAAAAAGAAGAAUGAUGAUCAGAUCGCCGAUUCUAGAGGAUAUCAAUUAAAAAGGGAAC
rnacentral:sRNA from 1 species